CCUACGGGUGGCAGCAGUGAGGAAUAUUGGUCAAUGGUCGGGAGACUGAACCAGCCAAGUCGCGUGAGGGAAGACGGCCCUACGGGUUGUAAACCUCUUUUGUCGGGGAGCAAAGCGAACCACGUGUGGUUCAUUGAGAGUACCCGAAGAAAAAGCAACGGCUAACUCCGUGCCAGCAGCCGCGGUAAUACGGAGGAUGCGAGCGUUAUCCGGCUUUAUUGGGUUGAAAGGGUGCGCAGGCGGAGGUGCAAGUCAGCGGUCAAAUUGCGGGGCUCAACCCCGUACUGCCGUUGAACCUGCAUCGCUUGAGUGAGCGAGAAGUAUGCGGAAUGCGUGGUGUAGCGGUGAAAUGCAUAGAUAUCACGCAGAACUCCGAUUGCGAAGGCAGCAUACCGGCGCGCAACUGACGCUCAUGCACGAAAGCGUGGGUAUCGAACAGGAUUAGAUACCCCAC
rnacentral:rRNA from 1 species